GCAAGUCGAACGGCAGCGGACCUUCGGGUGCCGGCGAGUGGCGAACGGGUGUAUUAAUAUAUCGGAACGUGCCUUUCAGUGGGGGAUAACGUAUCGAAAGUUACGCUAAUACCGCAUAUUCUCUGAGGAGGAAAGCAGGGGACCUUCGGGCCUUGCGCUGAUAGAGCGGCCGAUAUCAGAUUAGCUAGUUGGUGGGGUAAAGGCCUACCAAGGCGACGAUCUGUAGCGGGUCUGAGAGGAUGAUCCGCCACACUGGGACUGAGACACGGCCCAGACUCCUACGGGAGGCAGCAGUGGGGAAUUUUGGACAAUGGGCGAAAGCCUGAUCCAGCCAUGCCGCGUGAGUGAAGAAGGCCUUCGGGUUGUAAAGCUCUUUCGGCCGGGAAGAAAUCGCACAGGCUAAUACCUUGUGUGGAUGACGGUACCGGAAUAAGAAGCACCGGCUAACUACGUGCCAGCAGCCGCGGUAAUACGUAGGGUGCGAGCGUUAAUCGGAAUUACUGGGCGUAAAGCGUGCGCAGGCGGUUUGGUAAGACAGGCGUGAAAUCCCCGGGCUCAACCUGGGAACUGCGCUUGUGACUGCCUCACUAGAGUACGGCAGAGGGGGGUGGAAUUCCACGUGUAGCAGUGAAAUGCGUAGAGAUGUGGAGGAACACCGAUGGCGAAGGCAGCCCCCUGGGCCGAUACUGACGCUCAUGCACGAAAGCGUGGGUAGCAAACAGGAUUAGAUACCCCUGGUAGUCCACGCCCUAAACGAUGUCAACUAGUUGUUGGGGGGGUAAAACCCU
rnacentral:rRNA from 1 species